rnacentral:rRNA from 1 species
CUUGCUUCUCUUGAGAGCGGCGGACGGGUGAGUAAUGCCUAGGAAUCUGCCUGGUAGUGGGGGAUAACGUCCGGAAACGGACGCUAAUACCGCAUACGUCCUACGGGAGAAAGCAGGGGACCUUCGGGCCUUGCGCUAUCAGAUGAGCCUAGGUCGGAUUAGCUAGUUGGUGGGGUAAUGGCUCACCAAGGCGACGAUCCGUAACUGGUCUGAGAGGAUGAUCAGUCACACUGGAACUGAGACACGGUCCAGACUCCUACGGGAGGCAGCAGUGGGGAAUAUUGGACAAUGGGCGAAAGCCUGAUCCAGCCAUGCCGCGUGUGUGAAGAAGGUCUUCGGAUUGUAAAGCACUUUAAGUUGGGAGGAAGGGCAGUAAAUUAAUACUUUGCUGUUUUGACGUUACCGACAGAAUAAGCACCGGCUAACUCUGUGCCAGCAGCCGCGGUAAUACAGAGGGUGCAAGCGUUAAUCGGAAUUACUGGGCGUAAAGCGCGCGUAGGUGGUUCGUUAAGUUGGAUGUGAAAUCCCCGGGCUCAACCUGGGAACUGCAUUCAAAACUGACGAGCUAGAGUAUGGUAGAGGGGUGGUGGAAUUUCCUGUGUAGCGGUGAAAUGCGUAGAUAUAGGAAGGAACACCAGUGGCGAAAGCGACCACCUGGACUGAUACUGACACUGAGUGCGAAAGCGUGGGGAGCAAACAGGAUUAGAUACCCUGGUAGUCCACGCCGUA